rnacentral:rRNA from 1 species
ACCGGCAGCUAGCUCUCUGCAUCUCACAUGGUCAUCCACUGAAGCUAAGCAGGGCUGCACCUGGUCAUUACCUGGAUGGGAGAACACAUGGGAAAACUAGGUUACUGUUGGAA